rnacentral:rRNA from 1 species
UACGUAGGGAGCAAGCGUUGUCCGGAAUCAUUGGGCGUAAAGCGCGCGUAGGUGGCCAUUUAAGUCCGCUGUGAAAGUCAAAGGCUCAACCUUUGAAAGCCGGUGGAAACUGUGGGGCUAGAGUCCGGAAGAGGCGAGUGGAAUUCCUGGUGUAGCGGUGGAUGCGCAGAUAUCAGGAGGAACACCAAUAGCGAAGGCAGCUCGCUGGGACGGUACUGACGCUAAGGCGCGAAAGCGUGGGAGCGAACAGG